AAUAGGAGAAUGACAAAUCAAAAUCUUCCUCCUAAUUUUUAGCCUUUUCCUCUGAAAAAAUCAAUUUCAGCUAAAAAUGGUAAAAAUUAGGAGUAAAAAAUCUAAUUUGUCAUCCUCUUAUU
rnacentral:pre_miRNA from 1 species